AGAGUGGUGAAAUUGGUAGACACGCUAGAUUUAGGAUCUAGUGCCGCAAGGCGUAAGGGUUCAAGUCCCUUCUCUCG
rnacentral:tRNA from 1 species